UACGUAGGUGACAAGCGUUGUCCGGAUUUACUGGGCGUAAAGAGCGCGCAGGCGGUCGUUCAAGUCGGAUGUGAAAGCCCCCGGCUCAACUGGGGAGGGUCAUUCGAUACUGAUCGACUCGAAGGCAGGAGAGGGAAGCGGAAUUCCCGGUGUAGUGGUGAAAUGCGUAGAUAUCGGGAGGAACACCAGUGGCGAAGGCGGCUUCCUGGCCUGUUCUUGACGCUGAGGCGCGAAAGCCAGGGGAGCAAACGGG
rnacentral:rRNA from 1 species